CAGAGAGAACAAGUAAUUUGACUCCAUACGCAGUAAUUACGACUGCUGCUCUGCCGUCGUAAUCUCCUCCCAUUGCUCGAGCAUCUUACUCAGCUGUUCAUGAGUUGACCCUAUCAGUAAUGUGUCCUCUUCAUUUUGGUUGAACCGAAGCUUCAAUAAGAAGAUAAACCGAUGAAUGGAUUGGGAUGCAGUCACAUUCCAGCAGAGGCCGAAAUGGUCACGCCACCAGUGGGGCAUUCAUAUGCAACUCUCUCUCUCUCUUCGGAGGUGCAGCCAAAAGAAGGGUUGGCAUAUUACAACUAGUUUACUGUGAUCGUAUUUGUUUGGUUUCUACGUCUACCUCUGAUUUCUAAUCUCAUGUCUCAGCUCCAUUAUACUGUGCCACAGUUUGCUAAGGGCGAAAGAAAGAAGGAUUUCUUGUUGCACUCGAGAUUAACAAGAACCCUAAAAUACUACAGCAUAAACAGCUCGCUUACCAUGUUCAUCUGAACUGCUUGUCUUCUCUUCGACCACUUCGAUUCGUAUACUCGAUCUCACGGAGACCUGCAAACUCACUACAAGCAGAGAGACGAGAUGGCCGGCGGCCGUGAGAACUUCGAUUCAGGCCGGCUGAAGAGGAGCGUAUGUGCGUGCAGGAGACUUACGGAGGGAGGAAGGAUCCAACCGCGGCUUCAGCACGACCAGAAACAAGAAGGGAAGCAGCAGGAACCCCAGCAGCGAAAGUUGCACAAGCUUCCGAGGUCGAUGAACCAAGCAAGCCAUGGUCUUCUUAUCUUCUCCUCCGCCACCAGUACCUCUCCGAGGGCGAUGGCGAUAUGGUGGAGAGGGAGGAUGGUAUAGCAUUCGGCAUGCGUAUGUGUGGGUGGCGAACAAGAAUAUGUCUUCUUGGUCUUUCCAUUCCAUCCAUGCCACCAAAGGGGAUGUUGACGUUCCAAUUGCCACCUCAUUUGUCCCCCCACUGAUGUAGAAGACGCUGCUUGUGUUGGUGGUCUGUCUCUGUAAACCUCUUCUUCCUUUUUUAGCUUUGCUUUCCUUCUCCUUCGAUGCCUCUCUUCGGCGACGCAUAAAUAAUGGAGGAAAGUAGGAACAGUCCAGAAAGAAACCAACGUCAACCGAGUCGAAUUCCAUUGCUACUUUCUUGUAUCGUCAGGCUUUGAUCCCAAAGGGCAAGUGUUGGAUAGUGGGUGACCAGUUAACAGCAAGACGAAGAUGAAAUCACUGCAUAUCCUUAUCCGGUUGUCUUUGUUGGGUCACCUGAGAAGACGAAUCAUACAAGGAAGAGCGUUCCCCAUAAUUUCCUGGGACGGACGGACGGACGACCUCCAAUUACUUCUGCACCGGUGGUUCUGUGGCUGGUGAAAGAAGUUGGGUGAUGUCCUCCUGCUUUGUGAGAGCUACCGAAUGCAUACGGAUCGAGAGGACGACAAUAAAUGAUUAGGUCAGGGAAGCACAACAGGCAACCUGUAAUGGCAUCGGAUGAUGGUCACAUUAGACCUGUCUCAGCACAGAGCCCGCCCGCAUUUGUUGCUACAACGACCGUGAGUUCACUCGUAUACACCGUUAGAUCUUGAUCGAACGCAUGGAGGCGAACGAUGUCGUGGAGGAUGGAAAGGGUGAUUUAGUCGAUUCGGACUUGUUUGGGCUUAACGAUGGAAAGUCUCUCUCUCCUUUCCUCGCCACUACCAAACCCUAGUUUUUGUGGGAUGUUUUUGGUGUUGAUCUACUGUUGAUAGUAAUAGGAAUAGGUGAAGGUGAAUAGAGGAGCGGCAAUGGCGGGAGAAGGAGAUCGGGGAGCUUCGGGGGAUGCGGAGGAGAUCGGGGAGCUUCGAUUCUUGGAACAGGAUUUUUCUUGAUGGGAUUUUUGGUGGCCUCAUGUCUUUCCUGCUGUUCUGGACAUUUGCUUUUGACGUCGUUCAUAUUUUUUGAAGAAGAUGACAUGCUGGUGACAACAAGACGGUGGUGCUUUGGAGCAUUCAAGGAUGUGCCAAAGGCCAAUUACUUGAAAGCUAGCUUCACCAUUCUCAGCUUCUUGUGAGGUGCAAACAUUUGUAUUAUUUGGUAUUUGAUACAUAUUUGGUUUUUUGGGUUACCUAAUGCUCAAUUUACGGACGACCAAAAUCCUUGUUGCUCUGUAUUUGGUGAAUCAAAUCAUUGAUUCUGCUGCCUGCCUG